rnacentral:rRNA from 1 species
GAUGAACGCUAGCGGCAGGCCUAAUACAUGCAAGCCGAACGGCAAGUUGAGUAGCAAUACUUGACCUAGAGUGGCGUAAGGGUGCGUAACACGUAUGCAAUCUACCCGCAACAGGAGGAUAGCUCUCCGAAAGGGGAUUAACCCUCCAUGGGAUCUUUAGGUGGCAUCACUGGAAGAUUAAACCGCAAGGGGUUGUGGAUGAGCAUGCGCAUGANAGUUAGUUGGCGGGGUAACGGCCCACCAAGACGAUGAUCAUUAGGGGAACUGAGAGGUUGAUCCCCCACACUGGCACUGAGAUACGGGCCAGACUCCGUACGGGAGGCAGCA